UCGACACUCACUUCUAUACGAGCAUAAAUUUGGUAGACAGGCCAACUGCAAGAAUAUACCAUAGGCCUUCCAGUUUGAUUGAGGAUUGGCAUGACAUCCGUCUAAUUUCACAUAAUCUACACCCCAGGAAGCAAACGUGACAGCAUCUCCAGUCAAGUGGCCCAAUAUACCUGGAAAUCCAGCGCAGAUUGUUAAAGCUCACCUUAUACAAUUAUCUGGAUCGUUCUUGCAAUCGACGUUGCACCUGAAUCUUUCCCACGCCAACCAUCCCAUUGGAGGUGUUCUGGCUAAGCCAUUCUCCAGCGCUGGAACUACAGUGACCAGCGAUAGGAGAAGGACUACGGUUUGCGCGGCAUCCUGUAGAAAGAUAACAAAACUGCUUUUAUAAGAACUUGAUAGUCUCUGAUCACCGAUUUUGAUCAACUUCUAUGGAUGUAUAUUCACUCAAAUAUUUACUACAGUAACGCCGAUGGCGUUAAGACGUCGACUGCUACACUUGAGGGUCCAGAUUCGAUCCCUAAGAAUGAAUUUUUUUCAUUUAAAUUUUAUAUUUUUAAAUUGUUAUACAAUUUUUAAACCAUUUUUAUUACUUAAUACAAAAUGUUAUUUUUAAAAAAA
rnacentral:lncRNA from 13 species